UCCCCACAGGCUCAGCAAUAAAGAAUCUGUCUGCAAUUCAGAAGACACAGGUUUGAUCCCUGGGUGGGGAA
rnacentral:tRNA from 1 species